UACGUAGGAGACGAGCGUUGUCCGGAAUUACUGGGCGUAAAGCGCGUGUAGGCGGAUGGGCAAGUCUGCUGUGAAAGCUCCUGGCUUAACCGGGAGUGGUCGGUGGAAACUGCCAAUCUGGAGGACGGUAGAGGUAGGUAGAAUUCCCGGUGUAGUGGUGAAAUGCGUAGAGAUCGGGAGGAAUACCUGUGGCGAAGGCGGCCGUACCGGCGGACCGUGAC
rnacentral:rRNA from 1 species